rnacentral:rRNA from 1 species
UACGUAGGCAGCGAGCGUUGUUCGGAGUUACUGGGCGUAAAGGGUGUGUAGGCGGUUGUUUAAGUUUGGUGUGAAAUCUCCCGGCUCAACUGGGAGGGUGCGCCGAAUACUGAAUGACUAGAGUGCGGGAGAGGAAAGUGGAAUUCCUGGUGUAGCGGUGAAAUGCGUAGAUACUCAGGAGGAACACCGGUGGUGUAGACGGCUUUCUGGACCGUAACUGACGCUGAGACACGAAAGCGUGGGUAGCAAACAGG